UGACAUAGCGCUUGAUAGGC
rnacentral:misc_RNA from 1 species